rnacentral:rRNA from 1 species
CCACGGGGGGCUGCAGUGGGGAAUAUUGGACAAUGGGGGCAACCCUGAUCCAGCCAUGCCGCGUGUGUGAAGAAGGCCCUCGGGUUGUAAAGCACUUUCAGUGAGGAAGAACGCCUGGUGGUUAAUACCCAUCAGGAAAGACAUCACUCACAGAAGAAGCACCGGCUAACUCCGUGCCAGCAGCCGCGGUAAUACGGAGGGUGCGAGCGUUAAUCGGAAUUACUGGGCGUAAAGCGCGCGUAGGUGGCUUGAUAAGCCGGUUGUGAAAGCCCCGGGCUCAACCUGGGAACGGCAUCCGGAACUGUCAAGCUAGAGUGCAGGAGAGGAAGGUAGAAUUCCCGGUGUAGCGGUGAAAUGCGUAGAGAUCGGGAGGAAUACCAGUGGCGAAGGCGGCCUUCUGGACUGACACUGACACUGAGGUGCGAAAGCGUGGGUAGCAAACAGGAUUAGAUACCCGUGUAGUC